rnacentral:lncRNA from 1 species
CGGUUAUAGUUUGUUACUUCUACUAAAAAGAAGAAUUUAAAGAGGUUUAGAUCCAUAAAUCUAGAAUCACGACUUACCAAAUCACAGAGCAAAGGGGAUUAGGGUUAUCGGCGACUGAAGCUCGACAACGGAGGUUUUUGAUGAAAAUAGGAUGGCGCGGAGACUGAGAUACGGAGAAAAAACGCAGCAGACGGUGGCUGAGCGCGGCGGAGCUCCGGUGGCGAGUGGAGUAAACUAUGGUCGGCGCUUCAAGCUUGCUCUGAAAGUUUUGAACAGUAAACUAUGGUCGGCGCUUCAAGCUUGCUCUGAAAGCUUGGAAGUUG